rnacentral:hammerhead_ribozyme from 1 species
AGCCAGCUGACGAGUCCCACCUUUGACGAAACGCGCAUCCUGGAU